UUGAAUCCGUUUCCCCUUUAACUAGGGAGUCCUUCUUUUGCUCCGAUGAGUGAAUUUAUCGAGAGAGCAAAGAUUUGGAAAAGGGCAUGUGAAUGAAGGUGAUUGGUGAAGUGGACGUGAAACCAACCAAGAAGACUCUGUGUUCUCAUUUUCACAGUCGCCGUCGUUCUAGUUCAACCCUCCUGCCAACGAGAGAUCGGAAGAAAAUGGCUCGUCAAGCCACCAGACUCGUGGCCUCUUUGCCAUACCGAACAAGCCAUUGAAUAUGGCACCAAGAUGGUAAUCGUUUACUGCUCAUUAGAUUGGUGGUCUGAUUUUACUGCUUUGAAUAUGGAUUAUCACUCAGCUUUUGAAUAUGGAGCCGAAAGUUUGUUUCUUUAACCAACGGAGAACUCUGAUUAAUCACCGCCCCACCAUUUUGCCUAAUUUUUACACCUUAAAUAGAUACAUGAAACUGACACCCCUACCUCAGCUUAGCCCUAAUGCUAAUAACCCAUAUCAUACACACAGACUUACUUCCCACUACUUAGACAAGCCAAAAAAAUUAAACCAUAAGACGAAGCCAGAUCAGAACACGUCCGGGAUUCAAACUCGCACCUUGCUGAAGAGUGAUGCUUUGACGUGCUGGUUUACGUCCUUUUACAUUGGUCGAGGAGUCGACGAGUAGGCAGGUUCGGUUGUUGCGUUCUUGCGCUCGAGCUUCCGCUUCUCCAGGUACAAAAUGUAGCGUUGCAUGUCUCACCUGCCAGAUUGUCUUUCACAACGUCUUUCCAGACGGCUAGCUCCUUGAUAAGAUCUCUGAGCUGCAGACAAAGCAAGAAAAAUACAGUAUUUUCGUUUCUUUUCUCGAAAGUAUUGGGAAGUUUCCAAACAGCUAGCGGGACUGUUGGCAGUUAACGUACCUGCGGCUUACAUCCCAGUAUCCGUGAAGUAUCGUACAGGUAAGCGAUUAGGCGAGCCCUCGCGAGAGGGUCGGAUUCGAAUGUAUUAUAGCAACUUCAAUGCAC
rnacentral:lncRNA from 1 species